GGCUCUUUGGCGACGUGGUCAGCGCGUUAGGCUAUUACCCGGGAGUCUGGAGGUUCAAGUCCUCGCCCGGGCCC